rnacentral:tRNA from 1 species
GGCCCCAUCGUCCAGCCCGGUUAGGACAUCAGGUUCUCAUCCUGGUAACUUGGGUUCGAAUCCCAAUGGGGUCA